GGCCCCAUAGCUCAACUGAAUAGAGUAUCUGACUACGGAUCAGAAGGUUUCAGGUUUGAAUCCUGAUGGGGUCACCA
rnacentral:tRNA from 1 species